rnacentral:rRNA from 1 species
UACGAGGGGGGCAAGCGUUGUUCGGAAUUAUUGGGCGUAAAGGGCGCGUAGGCGGCGCGGUAAGUCACUUGUGAAAUCUCUGAGCUUAACUCAGAACGGCCAAGUGAUACUGCAGUGCUAGAGUGUGGAAGGGGCAAUCGGAAUUCUUGGUGUAGCGGUGAAAUGCGUAGAUAUCAAGAGGAACACCGGUGGCGAAGGCGGGUCUCUGGGCAGUAACUGACGCUGAGGAGCGAAAGCGUGGGGAGCGAACAGG